rnacentral:lncRNA from 1 species
CUCGAGAAAAUUCAGAGACAAGUUCAACUAAGGAUGGCCUCCUACCAACAAAGGGUAGUUCGGUACUACAACCUUCGACUCAAAUCCAAAACCUUCCAAGUGGGAGACUUAGUCAUCAAAAGAGCCAAAAUCUCCAAACCGACCAAACAAGAAAAGUUGUCUCUGAAUUGGUAAGGCCCCUACAGGAUCUUAGUAGUUUUGUGACAUCCGAGGGCCUACAAAAUCAAAAACUUAGACAGCAAAAAAAUCUCUCGGAUCUGAAAUGUUGAGAAUCUAUGAAUGUACUAUCAAUAAGAAUAUCUUCUUUUCAGUGCCCAGCAGUUCAAGUGUUUGAAAAUCUAUAAAACAACAACUUCUUUAUCGGCUACUAUCUGACGAAGGAUUAGUUGGCUGACACCCAAUUGAUGGAGUCGGGAUGGAUCCAUCGACUGUAAGCACGCCUGCUUAGGCUCAAGGCCUGCAGCACCGAAUUGCACACGAGAUCUAGGUGAAAUCAUAGCAUUGUUCGACUAACAACCGAUCACCAGAGUCGUAUGGCCGGGC